GUGCCAGCAGCCGCGGUAAUACGGAGGAUGCAAGCGUUAUCCGGAAUGAUUGGGCGUAAAGCGUCCGCAGGUGGCGAUGUAAGUCUGCUGUUAAAGAGUGAGGCUCAACCUCAUAAGAGCAGUGGAAACUACAUAGCUAGAGUACGUUCGGGGCAGAGGGAAUUCCUGGUGUAGCGGUGAAAUGCGUAGAGAUCAGGAAGAACACCAGUGGCGAAGGCGCUCUGCUAGGCCGUAACUGACACUGAGGGACGAAAGCUAGGGGAGCGAAUGGGAUUAGAUACCCCAGUAGUCCUAGCCGUAAACGAUGGAUACUAGGCGUGGCUUGUAUCGACCCGAGCCGUGCCGUAGCUAACGCGUUAAGUAUCCCGCCUGGGGAGUACGCCGGCAACGGUGAAACUCAAAGGAAUUGACGGGGGCCCGCACAAGCGGUGGAGUAUGUGGUUUAAUUCGAUGCAACGCGAAGAACCUUACCAAGGCCUGACAUGUCGCGAAUCUUCUUGAAAGGGAAGAGUGCCUUCGGGAGCGCGAACACAGGUGGUGCAUGGCUGUCGUCAGCUCGUGUCGUGAGAUGUUGGGUUAAGUCCCGCAACGAGCGCAACCCUCGUUUUUAGUUGCCAGCAUUAAGUUGGGCACUCUAGAGAGACUGCCGGUGACAAACCGGAGGAAGGUGGGGAUGACGUCAAGUCAGCAUGCCCCUUACGCCUUGGGCUACACACGUACUACAAUGCUCCGGACAGAGGGCAGCAAGCAUGCGAAUGCAAGCAAAUCCCGUAAACCGGAGCUCAGUUCAGAUCGCAGGCUGCAACUCGCCUGCGUGAAGGAGGAAUCGCUAGUAAUUGCAGGUCAGCAUACUGCAGUGAAUUCGUUCCCGGGCCUUGUACACACCGCCCGUCACACCAUGGAAGCUGGUAGUGCCCGAAGUCAUUACUCCAACCUUUCGGGGGGGAGGAUGCCUAAGGCAGGACUGGUGACUGGGGUGAAGUCGUAACAAGGUAACC
rnacentral:rRNA from 1 species